rnacentral:rRNA from 1 species
UAGGAAAUCUUCGGCAAUGGGGGGAACCCUGACCGAGCAACGCCGCGUGAGUGAAGAAGGUUUUCGGAUCGUAAAGCUCUGUUGUUAAGGAAGAACGAGUGUGAGAAUGGAAAGUUCAUGCUGUGACGGUACUUAACCAGAAAGGGACGGCUAACUACGUGCCAGCAGCCGCGGUAAUACGUAGGUCCCGAGCGUUGUCCGGAUUUAUUGGGCGUAAAGCGAGCGCAGGUGGUUUAGAAAGUCUGAUGUGAAAGCCCACGGCUCAACCGUGGAGGGUCAUUGGAAACUAAUAAACUUGAGUGCAGGAGAGAAAAGUGGAAUUCCUAGUGUAGCGGUGAAAUGCGUAGAGAUUAGGAGGAACACCGGUGGCGAAAGCGGCUUUUUGGCCUGCAACUGACACUGAGGCGCGAAAGCGUGGGGAGCAAACAGG